GGGGGUCAGCUGUAAAAUUGGCUAAAAUUACCCAAAUUAUAUGGACUCUGGUUUUAAGAUGCAAAAUUAGCAAAAAAAAAAAAAGAAAAAGAACGUUAGCUUGCUAGAAAGCCAUCGUUAAGAUGGUAGCAUUUGUCAAGUAUCAAGUUAUGAGUCUGAGGGGGUCGGCUGUAAAAUCGGCUAAGAAGUACAAAAUUAUAUGAUGCAAAAAUGGCACACAAAAAAAGAAGUUAGCAUGCCAAAGUUAGUUUGCUUUAAUGGUAAUGUUAGCAUGCUAACAGUUAACAUGUGUCAAGUAUCAGGUUAUGAGUCUGAGGGGGUCAGCUGUAAAAUUGGCUAAAAAGUACCAAAUUAUCCGACUCUUUGGUGUUGAGAUGCAAAAUCAGCAAAAAAAAAAAAAAGAUUGUUACCUUGCUAGAAUGCUAUCGUUAAGAUGGUAGCAUUUGUCAAGUAUCAAGUUAUGAGUCUGAGGGGGUCGGCUGUAAAAUCGGCUAAGAAGUACAAAAUUAUAUGAUGCAAAAAUGACACACAAAAAAAAGCAGUUAGCAUGCUAAAGUUAGUUUGCUAAAAUGCUAAUAUGAGCAUGCUAACAGUUAACGUGUCAAGUAUCAGGUUAUGAGUCUGAGGGGGUCAGCUGUAAAAUUGGCUAAAAAGUACCAAAUUAUCCAACUCUUUGGUGUUAAGAUGCAAAAUCAGCAAAAAAAAAAAAAGAUUGUUAGCUUGCUAGAAUGCUAUCGUUAAGAUGGUAGCAUUUGUCAAGUAUCAAGUUAUGAGUCUGAGGGGGUCGGCUGUAAAAUCGGCUAAUAAGUACAAAAUUAUAUGAUGCAAAAAUGACACACACAAAAAAAAGAAGUUAGCAUGCUAAAGUUAGUUUGCUAAAAUGCUAAUAUGAGCAUGCUAACAGUUAACAUGUGUCAAGUAUCAGGUUAUUAGUCUGAGGGGGUCGGCUGUAAAAAAAUUGGCUAAAAAGGUUAGCAUGCUUAAAUACUAAUGUUAGCAUGAGUUAAGUACAAAAUCAAAAUACUCGGAGGUGUUCUGCUGCAAAAUUGGCUAAAAAGGUUAUUAGCAUGCUAAUACUAGCAUGCUAACAGUUAACAUGUGUCAAGCACCAAUUGAUUUAAGUCUGAGGGGUUUGGCUGUAAAAUUGCCAAGAAAAAAGUUAGCUUGCUAGAAUGCUAUCGUUAACAUGGUAGCAUUCGUCAAGUAUCAAGUUAUGAGUCUGAGGGGGUCGGCUGUCAAAUCGGCUAAGAAGUACAAAAUUAUAUGAUGCAAAAAUGACACAGCUAAAGUUUGUUUGCUAAAAUGCUAACGUUAGCAUGCUAACAGUUAACAUGUGUCAAGUAUCAGGUUAUGAGUCUGAGGGGGUCAGCUGUAAAAUUGUCUAAAAAGGUUAGCAUGCUUAAAUACUAAUGUUAGCAUGAGUUAAGUACAAAAUCAAAAUACUCUAGGGUGUUCUGCUGCAAAAUUGGCUAAAAAGGUUAUUAGCAUGCUAAUACUAGCAUGCUAACAGUUAACAUGCGUCAAGCACCAAUUGAUCUAAGUCUGAGGGGUUUGGCUGUAAAAUUGGCAAGAAAAAAGUUAGCAUGCUAGAAUGCUAAUGUUAGCAUGCUAGAAUGCUAAUGUUAGCAUGCUAACCGUUCGCAUGUGUUAAGCACAAAGUCAUGUGACUCUGAUGUGUUCUGCUGCAAAAGUGGCAAAAUCAACCAAAACUGAAAGUUAUUAAGUGGGGCUUUAAAAAUGGUGAAGUUUUGGUGGAAAGGCAUCCAUUCAACUGAGAAGAAUUCAUUUCACAAUACGACUUUUUCCAAGCUGUGUCACAGAAUCAGUCAAACUCCAAUGGAGAAAUAAUGUAUUUUGUGUUUUUUUUUUUUGUUUUGUUUUUUGCAUCAUUUUCACCCACGCCGAGGUCCUUCUUGGUCCCCACGAGGAAGAGGAGUACGCUGGACGGGUCGUUCUCCUUCAUGGCGUCUUCCAACCACUGCCUACGCCAACAACAUGUGAGACGUCGCCCACCACGAUGACUUUGGCCACGUUGAAGCUGCAAAGCCGGACAAGUUCGGUCAGUGGCGUUCCGCGAGACCCGGGUUCGACCCCCUCCGCCUCACCUGACGGCGUCCUCCCGGCGGUGGUGGCAGGCGGCCGUCACGUCGGGGUGGAAGGCGUCUUUGGUGUUCAGCGCCGCUCUGGGACUGAAGCACUGCCGUCGGCGCGGGAAAAGCAGAUUGAGCAACACGUCGGUCACCAGGGCGCUGCUGGCUGGGGGCCUCACCUUGGGGAGGUGAGUGAUGAUCCUGUCGCUCUUCGCCGGAGGCACCAUGGAGGCACUUGGUGCGGGAGCUUUUUUCUUCAACAUCAAAUAAAGUCAUAUUCAUUCUUCACACACUUCCAUGACGUCAAAGUCACAUGUAGUAUUAACAUAUAAACAGGACAUUAAAAAGCAGAACACAUGACAACAACAUAAUUAAUAAACGUAUCAAAAAGCUUACAUGAAGGGGCAGGCUGCCUUUAAAAGACGUCAAAUUAAUCCAGUUGGAGAUGAGUUGCUUCAAUGUCCGUCGACAAGACAAAAGCAGAGCAACUGAGAGAGAAAAAAUUAAGUCAGCAGACUUUUUUUCCCCCCCUCAUAAUUAAAUACCUUGUGGGAGACAGCGAGGAAACAGCGCCCCUCUGUGGCUGCAAGCAGAACAGCAGUACGCUAGUUGAAUUUAUUUGGAACAUGCAUAUGCAACAUGAUACAUAACAGUAUCCAGUUUCUCUAUUCAACAUGUUUGAAAAGGAGUAGGAAGAAGCAAAGCUUAUUUAAUCCUACCCCUUUUUUCUUUACAUAACAGUUGCUAAAACUUGUGGUCACUUCUUCUUCUCAAUGUAUUCACAAUAUACUCCUUAAGUACAAACCCUGUUUCCAUAUGAGUUGGGAAAUUGUGUUGGA